rnacentral:misc_RNA from 1 species
UGACUUCAAUUUUUUUGUUGUAUACAUCUUUCGUGUUAAAUACAAUUCUUACUUAUUGUUAGUCAGAAAAAUGACGUGGUGGUUUGCCAAAGUACUAAUCAAAUUAUUCAUAUUUUUUACCAUAAGUAAUCACAUUAUAUUGACAGAAAGUUCAAAACUAAAUAUUCUGGAUUACGUUAAGAGAAAUUUUUAUAAUUUUCAUACUAACAAUUCGAAAGAUUUUAUUUUUACACUCUCGAAUUCGUCAAAUCGCAAUAACAAUCGAAUAAGUUUCAAAUCAAAUCAAGUUGAUUGUUUCGGUUUAGGAAAAAGAUUAGCUGGAAUUUUGGAAUGGUUUUUUUUGAAUAAUUCAAAUGGAACCAAUACUUUGGAUGUUCAAUUUUUCCUUUCCUCAAGAAGACAACCAAAACGUGUUGAAGUUAUGACUGGUAAACAAUUUGGUUUAGAAUGGACAGACUUUCAAAUCGAACGACCAACGGUCAUUAUAGUUCAUGGGUUCUUAUCUCAUGGUCAAGAAUUAUGGAUUAACGAAAUGGAGAAAUCAUUCCUUCUAUGGAAUGACGUUAAUAUCAUAGUUGUAGAUUGGAGUGCUGGAGGUAAUACUUGGAAUUAUUAUAAAGCUGCGGUUAACACGAAAAUAAUAGGAUAUCAAAUUGCAAGAUUUUUAGAAUACAUAACAAACGCAACGAGUGCUCAAAACGAUUUCAACAAUUGGGGACAAUUACAUUUAGUAGGCCAUAGUCUCGGAGCACAUAUUUGUGGUUUUGCUGCGAAAGAAUUGAAAAGAAAGCAGAACAAAUGGAAAAUACUAAGAAUAACAGGAUUAGAUCCUGCACAACCUUGUUUCAGAAAUGUAGACUCCAGUAUGAAACUUCACAAAUCUGAUGCGUCGUUCGUCGAUGUUAUUCAUACCAAUGGCAGAUUACUUUCUAAAAUCGGAUUAGGUUUACCAGAACCGAUAGGUUAGGUAUUUUUAAAUAUCGUAUUUCACGUAUACGAGGAUUGAAAUGAUUUGUAUCGCGUAGGUCACAUUGAUUUCUAUCCUAAUGGUGGCAGAACUCAGCCUGGUUGCAAGAUCAACUCUUCGUAUUUCGAAUAUUUACCAAUUCCACUUGUAGAAAUUAAUAACGCUAUAUGCAGCCAUGGACGUUCAUAUGUUUAUUUGACGGAAUCUUUAAUUUCCGAGGUGAAACAAAAUUGUACUUUCUGGGCGCACCAUUGGAAUUUAUCUUACAAGAAUUUGUUGCAAGUAGUAACGGAAUCUUGCGAUAAAAAUACUUGUACUGAAAUGGGUAUAAAUGCAAUAAAGUAUUCCCAUCGAGGAA